AUUCUAGCAACUCCUGAAAUGCAAAACCUUCUGUGGCAAGAGAGAAGAGGCAGUCUUGUGACUACAGCUCUGACCUGAUGGACAUGCUCUCUUCAAGUAGGACUUCAUUCAGGUAGUAAGACCAAGAACUGCAUUAAAAAACAGGAAGAUUGGCCCUAGGCAGACAGAUGACAGAAAUACAACAGCGCACAAGAGCCCAGUCUCAGUUCUCACACGUAUGCUAGUUAACACUUUGAUGGCUGAGUUACAUUCUAAGCAAAUCUAAGCUGCUUAAAUAUAAAAGCCUGAUUUGGAAAGCUAUUGUCUGGAGAUUGUAUUUGCAUAACAACAAAUAGAGUCAACCUACAUUGUCCAGUGUUGAAGGAAAAAUAACCUAUGGAGAAAAGGAAGGCAAUUUGCCCUGCAGUGAGUCAUCAGGCUCUGCUGUGCUGAAAGAAGACGACAUUUUUGAGGAAAAGGCUGCUGGCAUAUAUCUAUUGCAGAGGAGAAGAAACAUAUAGUGUGGGAAUGGUCAUACCAGGAGAACUGUCAAAGAAUUGGGGAAAAACAGCAGUGAAGAGAUAUCCAGAAAAUCAUCAUGAUUCUCUGCAAGAUCCUUUGAGGAACUCCACUACAAGAAAACAAAAAUGACUUGAAUUACUGCAGACCAGCGAAGAUGCCAGUCUUGCUGACUAAAGACUAAAAUGCCUUUCUUCCUUCCCAUUCUCCUCACAAUGGAGGUUCAUGAAGCUGCCUUUACUUGCUGAGUAACUCAGGUGUGUCUCCAUUCCUUAUCCCCAUGUCCAGUUGAUGAUUUAGCUGAUCCCUCACCUUGAAGGUUUUAUGUAUGUCUGAGGAAAAACAGCAUGAGCUAUGUUGUGGCAAAAUGACAGGUGGUGGUCUCCUUCUCUUUGUUGCUACAUGACAGCCUGUGGCUGCUAGAUAACUGGUUUUGUUUCUUGGUGAGUAAUUUAUCAGGAGGAGCAGAAUUUAUGUCCCUUCAGCUGUACCUCACUACAGGAGAAAAAUUGUUAUUUAGUCUUAAGUUUGUUUCUGUUCCCUUCUUGAGGUGUUUUCCUGUUAUAAUCUGAAGUGAGGACUGCAUGCUGUGAUCGUUGCAAAACCAUUCCCCUUUCUCAGGAAUAUACCGUAACAUUAGCUCAGUGUUUAUAGUAUUUCCCAUUCCUUGCUCAUACUUGCAGUAUGGAGUACAACACACCCUGUUAUCUAGUAAAAAGUAAAGUGUCAGCUGAAAUGGAGUGGCAGCAGAAAGUGUUUUAUACAUGGCUGUGAUAAAGGAGUAGAUCCUCAUUCAGCUCAACAACAUCAUCAUUACCAAAUGCAUUUCUGGCAUCAUUUGACCUGCUGCACACCAGCAAAUGAUGAGCUUGAUAUUGAUUUUCCCACUCAGAGACCUUUUAGGGCCAAAAGUGCAAUA